rnacentral:rRNA from 1 species
AUUGAACGCUAGCGGGAUGCUUUACACAUGCAAGUCGAACGGCAGCGCGGACUUCGGUCUGGCGGCGAGUGGCGAACGGGUGAGUAAUGUAUCGGAACGUGCCCAGUAGCGGGGGAUAACUACGCGAAAGCGUAGCUAAUACCGCAUACGCCCUACGGGGGAAAGCAGGGGAUCGUAAGACCUUGCACUAUUUGAGCGGCCGAUAUCGGAUUAGCUAGUUGGUGAGGUAACGGCUCACCAAGGCGACGAUCCGUAGCUGGUUUGAGAGGACGACCAGCCACACUGGGGCUGAGACACGGCCCAGACUCCUACGGGAGGCAGCAGUGGGGAAUUUUGGACAAUGGGGGCAACCCUGAUCCAGCCAUCCCGCGUGUGCGAUGAAGGCCUUCGGGUUGUAAAGCACUUUUGGCAGGAAAGAAACGUCGCGGGCUAAUACCCCGUGGAACUGACGGUACCUGCAGAAUAAGCACCGGCUAACUACGUG